UCAAAUUUUCAUGACAACUGUCAUAACCUGUCGUCAAUCAAAUAAUCAUUUCAGAUCUUGAUGUUUGAAUGUAAACGUUCUCUAAUCUACAUUAUUUAAAUACAAAUAGCUCUGCAAAUAUUUUAAGGAUAACUUUGAAGUUUUGACCGUACUGAAAUAUGUUAAACACACAUUCCGCUCAUGUCGUUGCCGGUGCGCCCAAGGUGAGGAUAAGUGGCCCCAAACGACUCGCCUAUGGGGCCUUUAUGGGCUUUUGUAUGCUGAGCUUUCCAUUUGCCACCGUCUUUUUCAUCCCCGCCAUGAGAGACAGAAAUGGACCAGUCGAACGCCCUAACGUAUGAAUUGAAUAGAUCUUAAUUUGUAAUGUAUUGUGUAUAAAAUAACCGUUCUUUAAUAUAAUAUUCAUCAUAGA